GCCAAGCCCAAUGGCUGGUGCCUGUGAUCCCAGCUCCUGGGGAGGCUGAGGCCAGUGGAUCACUUGAGCUCAGGAAUUCUAGGCUGCAGUGGGCUGUGCCAAUCGAUCGGGUGUCUGCACUAAGUUCAGCAUCAACAUGGUGAUGCCUGGGGAGCUUGGGGUCCCCCAGUUACCUAAGGAGAGGUGAACGAGGUCAGAAAUGGAGCAGGUCAUAACCCCUGUGCUGAUCAGUAGUGGGAGUGUGCCUGUGACUAGCUCCUGCAGUGUAACCUGGGUAAGACACGGUUUCCUUU
rnacentral:SRP_RNA from 1 species